CAAUGUGAGGGCCAUCUGCCUGUGACACCCGUCACCACACUGAUCUCCAGCCUUGAGUCUGCCCAUGUGCCUGCCCAAGCCCAGGUCCCCUUCCUCACCCAGCGCUCCAUGUGCAUCCCUCCCAAAGCUGAUGGGGCACCGAGUACGACCUCCCCGAUACACACAGAGCAUUUUAUCACACAAGGUUAUUUGAUAGCUGCGCUCCCUGCUACAACUUACAAACCUGACCAAGCUCCAUUCCUCCAUAGGAGGGGUUUCCUGGUAGUAAAAAAUAAAAUUUAAAAAAAAACAAGACUGAAAGAGCAUCCCAAUAAAUGGGAGGGAUUCAUGUGGUGCAUUG
rnacentral:snRNA from 1 species